rnacentral:lncRNA from 1 species
AAGUUUUUGAGGUUGAAGAUGAAGUCUAUCCGCGUUAUGGAGCCAAAUUCAAACUCCCCAUCCAAUUAUAGCGCGCCACCUCUCCUAGCCGUUACAUUCAAAUAUUUUUUAUUUCAUUUAAUUCCUUUUUCUUCCAAAAUUCAUUUUAAUUAGCUCCUUCAUUACUUUUUAGUCCAACUUUUUUUCAUAAUUUCAUAAAAAUAUUAUCUACCAAAUUUAAUUUUUCCAUAUUAUUUAAAAACUCCUUUUGCAUUUAAUUCAUAUUUUCUCUUAUUUUUUAUUUUAUUUUCUUUUAACAUUUUUAUUUUAAU